GCGGAGGAAAAGAAACUAACCAGGAUUGUCUCAGUAAGGGCGACUGAAGCGACAAUAGCUCACCAUGUGAAUCAGCGGCCGAAUUGUGGUCUCACUUGCGCUACUGGGCCGGGCCAAGUCCGUUGGAACACGGCAGCCGAGAGGGUGAGACUCCCGUCCGCCUGGCCCUUUGAGCUUGUGUAUACGAGUCGAGUUGUUUGGGAUUGCAGCUCUAAGCGGGUGGUAAAUUCCAUCGAAAGCUAAAUACUGGUGGGAGACCGAUAGCGUACAAGUACCGUGAGGGAAAGAUGCAAAGAAGCGCGAAAGCGCUGUUAAAGAGUACCUGAACUUGCUGAAACGGAAGCGAAGGAAACCAGUGCCAGCUGCGUCAUACUUCCCCAUCCGCUUGUGGUUGGGGCGCUGUGGCCAGCGUUGUCAUGCUUGGUUGGUGGGUGCGGAAGAGCUCGUGGGGAGUUGACCCUCGUUGC
rnacentral:rRNA from 1 species